rnacentral:lncRNA from 1 species
UGUAUUCAUUGUACAGUUGUGCUAAAUCCCCAACACUUAUUAAUAGCAGCUAUUCUUGAACCGCUUCCCCCACAAACACACAGAUGCCUGGGUUAUUUCCCCACCCGGUGUAAUGAAUCGGUGCACAUCUUAGAGUUACCCAACCAACCACGCAAUAUAUCAACCUCAAAUUCUCAAUACAAAUCCAUAUGGUCGCAUAAAUUGAUGUAGGCUAGCUUCAGGGGAAAGGUAAAAAAAUUGAUUUAGGAGGGGAAAGGUAAAAGAAGAGGUAGACAUCUUAAAUUAGCAAAGAAAACCGUCGAGAAUUACGUGGUCAAAAGGUACACUGAGGGUCAAAAAUUUGCAGUUCUAGGUGCAAUCCAUGGCAUGCAGCUACACAGAAUAACGUUUCUGAAGAAGAUUACACAGGUCAGGAAAGCAUAGUCGUAGCACUUCAAGUCACGGCUACAGCUAGGAUGCUCACGUUACCUUCAGCUGCGAAGGCCAAGCUAAGGAACUCCUUUAAUUUUCUGGAACAAAGGGACUCGACUGUCGGGACAACAUGCGAUGGAUCUUCAGGGGUAGACGACGGCGUAGGCGCGGCGGCGUGGCUGCGAGCCGGCCACUAGAGCCGCCACGACGACGGCGAGGACGAGCAGCGCCAUGACGAUGUCCUCGUCCAGCGACAGCAGGCACAGCUUCUUCCCCAUGCUCUCCUUCUCUUCCUUUAUUUCUUUCCUUCUCCGAUGAAUGAAUCGAUCCCUGCAGAGUAGUAUAUAUAUGACGUGUGUAUACAGUGGACAUUUCAGAAGAAAGAAAAACUACACAUGCAAUUGGGAGGCUCUGUCUCUCCGGGUCAACUCAGCCGCGAGACCACAUCUUGAUGUCUUUAAUUAAACUUCUUCGGUUUUGAGAAAUUAAUUAGACUUGCGGAAAAGGGUCAUGCGACACAUGCGGCUGUUAGUUUUUUGCCGGCGUAUGGGCCCGGACGCCCGGUAUAUAUAUGCGUCGGCUUACUUGCUAGACAGCGGUCGAUCAAUCUGGAUGAUCGCCGAAGCUUCUUCUUCUUCAGUUCUUCGGCACGCGCUCACCUUCGUGAAAGUCUAAGGCAGGACUGACUUAAAUCUCUAUAUUUUUUAGGAGUAGGAACCGAGAGUUGGCAAGGCUAUGCAUUUUAAACGCAAGUGGGAAUGCAUGUAUAUGGUAC